rnacentral:lncRNA from 1 species
GGCAAUGUUCAGUAAAAUUCAUAAACCUUGAAGUGUGCGAUACCUAGCUAGGCAUUUAUUUUAAUUAUAUAUACUAGGAAUUUGGGUUCCAAUUUUUUUAUCUGAAUUUGUAUAGUAUUAUGCAGAAACACUGAAACGAAACACUGAAACUGGCAUUUAAAUUCAUUUUUUCUGCACAGAAUCUGACUGAAUAAUGCAAGCUUGAGAUAUUGUCUCAUCUUUAGAUAUUAAUGCUAACUUAGCAUCUUCAUCUGUAUUUUCUCUUGGCUUCUUUUAUCACUCUGCCUACUGUCCCCACCCCUCACAUGAGCCCCCA